GUCAGCUCGCUCAGACCUGACGAGCGAAGCGGUCAGACCGGAGGUAAUAUCUGCGUGGCUUUUCAACGAUAGUGACAACUGAGGGACACCAAGGGGCUGACACGCCGUGGUGGCUUUAUUUCUGCUGGACAGGUCACCUGCAGAUUUGGAGUCUUCCAACACCCUGUACUUCUUACCAGUACACUGAUCGGACCAUGCUGGCUGGCCUGGAUUACAAACACCAUGUCCACAGUCCAGCCAGGAGAAAAGCUGAUGACACAGUUCACAGGUACAGCGAGGUGUACAACAAAAAGUCCAGGAAGUGGAUUGAAGGUGGAGAAGGACCACAGUUACAUUGCAGACUUCCAGAGUGCCAUCCUCCUCCUCUGACGGUUGUCUACUACUGAGGAGAUGCCUAGAAGCAGAACCAGUAGACCUGAUGAUCCCCGUCAACAUGGGGUUCAGUCAGGUGUCCCUGCCCCAACUGUGUUGCUAGAUGUAGCAAAGUAUAAAACAAAAAGGUAAUAUGGCUGGUUUUGAAAUGUGGUAAUCAUGUCAUAGAGGUGAUUGUGAUAUAUUUAAUCAUCUCCACAGCAGCGAUAUGAUGCUACAUGCAAAGUCUGAAUUGUCUUCAUAAUCAGUCAGGACACCUCUGGACACUCCUUGUCUUUCUUCCUGUAUUUACU